ACAUGCGUCAUUGCAAUUAUUCAAACGCUCCUAAUUGAUUUCACGCAAAAGCUGUAUAAAAUUGUAAUCGAGUCUUCGUUUACAUGCCUUAUCUAUACUGUUAUGGAUUUUUUAUUUAUACAGCAUUUAGUAUUUGUUUUUAAAAAAACAGAACUUAGACCGAUGGAAGAUUUUUGGAGUGAAAUCAAACGAACAGUUUAUGCUAAAUGCUGGCAAGCUGAAACUUUGGAACAACUUUGUAAUAGAAUUGACUACUGCUUAAAAAACUUAGAUCCUGAUUUAGUACAACGAUUUGGAUGAUUGUCUUUAACUAGAGUUGAUGCAGCUCGGCGAAAUGGAAUCCAAAACUUAUAAUUUUUUAUUUAAUUUUAUUUGAAUGAUAAUAUUUUUUAUCGUUUUUUAAAAAAAAAAAAUCUUUAUCCGUUAAAAAGUUAUUAAAUUUUUUCUUUUUGUCCAGAUUUAAUCGGUCAGAUGUUAGCAAAUUUCACUGCCACUUUACAAAAUAUGAAAAUACAUUACUUCAACAAAUGUUAGUUUUUUACACAUAAAAGUUAUGAAAAAUCUCCUAUGAAAUGGUUCAUCUAAAUCUAAUUCCCUGCAGUAUGCCUGUUAAAAAUAAAAACUGAAGAAACUUUAGAACUAGAUGAUGACAACUGAAGUUGAAAAACCGUUAUUCAUGGUGUCAUAUCGAGGCUUCAGUUCUCCAGUAUUUAUUUUUGUAUUUUAUUAUAUAUGUUAUGUUUGUUUUAUUUUUUAUUUUUGCUGCUUUUGUAACAACAAACUAUGUGAAUAUUUGUGAAUAAUUGUCCUGCCCUGGGCCUCUACUUCAAUCUGGCUAUUGUUAUAACACGAAUAUCGAUUUAUAUACUUUAUUGAGUUAGCUUUUGAUUUGUACAUGUGUUUUUGUUUUCCUAGUGUUUGUUAGUUACAUGCAAAAUACGGCAUGGUAUGGCACACUGUAUGAUAUGCCCUAAAUAAUAUUAUCAAUAAAUAUUUUAAUCUAUACUUUGUAAAUAUAUAUGCUUUAAAUUAUUAUAUUAUUCAAAUGUUUAUUUUAAGUUUAUUAAAUUUGUGUAAAAGUGGAUGAAAGCACUAAAGAAAAGUUACGAUAAACUUUAAAGCAGAUUUUUGUCAUGCGGUUAUGGUGGCAAUACGUGAGAACUAAUGUGGCAGAAUAUUACUAUCGUAAAACAGUUUUGCAUCAAAUCAUUGUAUAAUAUUAGUUUUUUGUUGUUUAAAAAUAUUAUGAAAUUCAAA